rnacentral:rRNA from 1 species
ACGAACGCUGGCGGCGGUGCCUAACACAUGCAAGUCGAGCGAUGAAACCCUUCGGGGUGGAUUAGCGGCGGAACGGGUAGUAGUAACACGUGGGUAACCUGCCUCAAAGAGGGGGAUAGCCUCCCGAAAGGGAGAUUAAUAACCGCAAUAACAUUAGUUUUUUCGCAUGAAGAACUAAUUAAAGGGAGUAAUCCGCUUUGAGAUGACCCCGCGGCGCAUUAGCUAGUUGGUGAGGUAAAGGCUCACCAAGGGCGACCGAUGCGUAGCCGACCCUGAGAGGGUGAUCGGCCACAUUGGAACUGAGGACACGGUUCCAGACCUCCUACGGGAGGCAGCCAGUGGGGAAUAUUGCACAAUGGGCCGAAAAGCCUGAUGCAAGCAACGCCCGCGUGAGUGAUGAAGGCCCUUCGGGUUGUAAAGCUCUGUCUUUUGGGACGAUAAUGACGGUAACCAAAGGAGGAAGCCACGGCUAAACUACGUGCCAGCAGCCGCGGUAAAUACGUAGGUGGGCGAGCGUUGUUCCGGAUUUACUGGGCGUAAAGGAUGCGUAGGGCGGAUAUUAUUAAGUGAGAUUGUGAAAAUACCCGAGCUUAAACUUGGGUGCUGCAUUUCAAACUGGAUAUCUAGAGUGUGGGAGAGGAGAAUGGAAUUCCUAGUGUAGCGGUGAAAUGCGUAGAGAUUAGGAAGAACACCAGUGGGCGAAGGCGAUUCUCCUGGACCAUAAACUGACGCUGAGGCAUGAAAGCGUGGGUAGCAAACAGGAUUAGAUACCCUGGUAGUCCACGCCGUAAACGAUGAGUACUAGGUGUAGGGGGGUCCAACCCUCUGUGCCGCAGGUUAACACAAUAAGUACUUUCCGCCUGGGAAGUACGAUCGCAAGGUUAAAACUCAAAGGAAUUGACGGGGGCCCGCACAAAGCAGCGGAGCAUGUGGUUUAUAAAUUUCGAAGCAACGCGAAAGAAACCUUACCUGGACUUGACAAUCCCCUGAAUAGUGCAGAGAUGCAUGAAGCCCUUCGGGGCAGGGAGACAGGUGGUGCAUGGUUGUCGUCAGCUCGUGUCGUUGAGAUGGUUAGGUUAAGUCCCUGCAACGAGCGCAAACCCUUAUCAUUAGUUGCUACCAUUAAGUUGAGCACUCUAGUGAGACUGCCCGGGUUAACCGGGAGGAAGGUGGGGAUGACGUCAAAUCAUCAUGCCCCUUUAUGGUCCAGGGCUAACACACGUGCUACAAUGGUGAGUACAGAGAGAUGCAAGACCGCGAGGUGGAGCCAAACUCGAAAACUCAUCCCAGUUCGGAUUGUAGGCUGCAAACUCGCCUACAUGAAGCCGGAGUUGCUAGUAAUCGCGAAUCAGAAUGUCGCGGUGAAAUACGUUCCCGGGCCUUGUACACACCGCCCGUCACAACCAUGAGAGCUGGCAACACCCGAAGUCCGGUGAGGUAAACCUGUAAAGGAGCCAGCGGCCGAAGGUGGGGUUAGUGAUUGGGGUG